rnacentral:rRNA from 1 species
UACAGAGGUCUCACGCGUUGUUCGGAUUCAUUGGGCGUAAAGGGUGCGUAGGUGGCGCUGUAAGUCGGGUGUGAAAUCCUGAGGCUUAACCUCGGAACUGCAUUCGAUACUGCGGCGCUUGAGGACUGGAGAGGAGACUGGAAUUCAUGGUGUAGCAGUGAAAUGCGUAGAGAUCAUGAGGAAGACCAGUGGCGAAGGCGGGUCUCUGGACAGUUCCUGACACUGAGGCACGAAGGCCAGGGGAGCAAACGGG